rnacentral:rRNA from 1 species
AUGGAGGGUGUUCAGGGAGCUGCAGGUGGAAGAGCAGUGACGGAUUUUCAAUCUCAGAGGGAGCCGCAGAUUAGUUUGGAUUUGCAGGAUGAUGGAGGAUUCGUUUUCUCUCUGGUGGUCAGGGCAAGCCUGAGAGCUGCCGAGUCACCCUCGCUGAUCUGCGGCGACAGCGAUCAAUCCUUCCAGCCUUGCCGUCCCCCUCACUGGAUUCGGAUCACCGAUAAGGGAAGAGGGGCUCAGAGAGGGAAAAGGGGGAGGAAUUUGAAUUCCAUACGCUGUCUGGGAAACGCAUUUCCCCUUUCCGCCUUCCCUAAGACAAUCACAGAAAGUAGCAGCGGGGUUGACAUCACCUUUUUCAGCCAGCUGUGGGAGGCAGAUUAUAGGGUUCCCACCCCGCCGCCAGCCACCACAUCCGCAGAAGGCACCGACCAAAAUUUCGAGGGAGAGGCCAUGGCUGAGCAAGGGACAGGGAGGGGGAAAUCCAAGAACAAGAGUGGACGGGGAGGGAGCAGCAAUCCACGGCCCCCUGGUUGGGGGCUUGAUCAGAAUCCUUCCCCCCAAUUCAAAUUCCCGUUCGGAUACCCAACUCCACCAUGGGGCUUCCCGAAUCAGCUCCCAGGAAAUUAUCCUCCACCACCAGGACAAUGGCAAGGCCCUCCACCCCCGUGGGCUGCGCAGCAACAAGGGUUUGGAUUUGGAGGUCUGGGAGGCAUUCCACCGCCAGGGCCAGGAAUCCAGGUUCAGCAACCCCAAUCGCAAGCGCAGAUGGGCGGACAGGGGCAGCAAAAUUUCCCCAAAGGGCAACCAAACCCUGCAGGCCAACAGAAGCAACAACAACAGAGAGGUCCGAGCAAGCAAGCAGCAAAGAGAUCUGCGAAAACCCUGCUCGACGUUGCGGCAGAUCUGAAAGCUUACUCUGCUGAUAUCUGCCUCAACUGUGGAGAUCCUGGUCACCCAGCUGUGGACUGUGCUAAGCCCAAAUCCUGCCAAAUCUGCAAGAUGAUCUCUCAUGCUGCUGAUGUAUGCCCAGUGAGGAAGCAACCGCACCAGACAGCAAGAUACAUUGGAAGCGCGGCCCCUGGACUUGGCUUCUACCAUGUGGAGCUGCCUGAUGUCAAUGCUCAGAGAAUUGGGACACUGCAAAACAUUGGAAUCGUCCAUGUGGAGGAGGGCGGCAUUACAAAAGAGGAAUUAGCUGCAGAAUUCACCAUCAUCUACAAAACUAGAUGGCCAUGGCAGAUCAGGUCAUUAGAUGAAUGGUCCUUCCUAGUUAAGUUUCCUCCUGAGAUUCCUGUUACUCAGGUAGCCGGAUACCCCUGCUUUGGGCUCUCAAAAGAAGGGGUCACAGUAAAUGUAGAGGAAUGGAAUGGAAAGGUAGAGGCUCAAGCUGAGGGUCAACAAGUGUGGGUCAGGCUCCUGAGAAUGAAUCCCAAGUGGUGUGAAUGGGCUGUCCUAGACCAGAUUGCCUCAGUUUUUGGGCUCUUGGUUGAUGUAGACUGGGAACACAUGUUCAAAACCUUCUAUGAAUUAAUCAGGAUCAAAGUGGUGUGUAAAGACAGUAGUAGGAUCCCUCUAGAAAGGCUCUUCUUCCUGGAUGGGGAAUUCUACAUGAUAGGGAUAGAAGUAGAACCAAACACUGAUCAGGGGGCUCUGUGA